rnacentral:lncRNA from 1 species
GUGAGGAUAAGGACGGACCAGAGCCUCUUCCUCCCCCUAUAGAAAAGCCAUUGCCCUCCUUUUCUCCACCCUUAAAGGGACCUGCAUUUGUUGGCCCCGUUCAGCCAACAGCGCCUCCCAUCCCCCUUAAGGAGAUCCAGGAGCAUUUUAAAAACUACACAACAGGCAGAGUUAGGUGCCUUGAUAUUGGCCUUACAAAUUUUCCUCACCAAGACAUAAAUAUACUUAGUGAUUCCACUUAUGCGGUGUAUAGUAUUACUCAUUUAGAUCUUGCACAUGUGAAGGGCAUUA